rnacentral:tRNA from 1 species
CGGGAUGUAGCUCAGCUUGGUAGAGCGCUGCGUUUGGGACGCAGAAGUCGCACGUUCAAAUCGUGUCAUCCCGA